rnacentral:lncRNA from 1 species
GUUUGGGUAACAAAGAAUGGUUGUAUCUCAAGGUAAUUGAAACGAAAGCUGCCUAAACAAAUGAGAGUGAUCACUUUCCAAAUACUCAAGCAUUCACAACUUCAUUCACCUUUUUCUCUUUGCUCGAUUGUUAGACCAUCGCACACAACUUAUUAUCACAAUUUAUUUUCUAUUUUUUGUUCUUUUUCAAGGCUUUUUAUUUUUCACUUUUCUCUUUCUUUUUCCAAAUUUUUAUUUUUCUUUCUCAACCUCUG